rnacentral:lncRNA from 1 species
CCCCUGGAAAGCUCACCAUGGCCCUCCCUCAAUUCAUCCUUGCUAUUUUCGUUUACUGUUCAGGUAAGGCUGUGGAAGUGAUCUCUUGUUCAAGAGGCCAAGCCAAAGAUAUUUGAAUCUAUCCCAGAAACAUAGUGCUUUGUGGGUGUUUGUGAAUGCUGAAAAUGAAACGAGGUCCUCAUCUUUGUUUUUUCUGUUGUUGCUUCCUCCUACAAAGGUGUCUCUUCACAGUCAGAUCCGACUCAGCCUGCCUCUGAAUCCGUGACCCUGGGACAAACGGUCAAACUCUCCUGUACUUCCAGUAACCGUGGCAGCAACUACAUUCAUUGGUAUCAACAGAGAUCAGGACAGGCCCCUCGCUUUGUGCAGUAUGAUGGUAGCAGCAGGGGAGAAGGGAUCCCGGAUCGAUUCACCGCUUCUCGCUCCGGGAACAUUGGCUAUUUAACCAUCACCAACGUCCAGGCUGGAGAUGAGGCUGUUUAUUACUGUGGCAGAUGGUAUGGUCUCACAU